UGUGUUUGUGUGUGUGUGUGUGUGUGAGUGUGUGUAUCAACACACACACACACACACACACACACACACACA